CUCUCUGUCUGUGUCUCCCCCUCCCUCCCUCUCUCUCUCUCUGCGCCAUCCUCAUCGCCCUCCUUCCAACAAGGCUCGGUACAGCGAUUGAACCUCGACCACCUGGAGCAGCCAUCACCCCCCCCCCACCCCCACCCCACCCACUGCACCCGCCCAGAGAUGUCACCCGAGCCACCGCUCCCGACGCUGACUCUCAGCUGCCUGUCCCUGAUCCUGUCCCUGCAGAGCCCCUCCAUGCAAGCGAUGAUCCAUCCACGUGCAAAACCAUGAUUGGACAAAGAACCCACUGUCAUGUCUGAGGAGGAAGUAGAUGGAUCCUAAAAUCCUCUUCAGAGGAAAGGCACAAGAUGGCAUCCUCCAGCUUCAAAGAAUCAACUACCAGGGGCUUAACGUACCACAGAAAGAAUAGCACAAUACCAAGAUAUUGGAGAAGGUGCCUAAAUAAAAUAAAGGAACAUCUAGUCACCUCACCUAGUACUGUAGAACCCACAAUCAAUAAGAAUGUUCUUAAUUGCCUAGCUUGCUAAUACCAUUACCUAAUAGCUCAAUGAUCUUACAAACUUGGCAGGGCAGAUUGGUUACAUCUUCAAUCUGUUGGAAGAGUUUAUUUGCAACCCACCACCCUUCCCCAAGCAACUCUGGAACAGCCCCAUCCCAAGCUCCUUAGUCAACCUGGCAGGAUACUUGGAUCAGCCUUGAGUGCCCCCAGUGACUAAUGCGCUACUUCCAUUCAGCAAAUGACCUUCUGCAGGUUCCUACCAGGGAAUAUAUUUCCAAGUGCACUUUUUUUUAACAAAGUAAAGUUUGUAAGUAAUUCACUCAUUUAUCUUUUACAAUGAACGUGUGUUAAUAAACCAUUCAUUUCCAUUA